rnacentral:lncRNA from 1 species
CAGCAGUUGAUAGCGAAGCUUGUAGACGUUUGGUUUUAUAACUGAGUCGCUUGCCCGUAAUACCUCUCGUAGCAAGUUCGCAGAGGCUGGUUUUCUAUCGAUGAAAAGUUGUAGAGGAUUGACAGAAUAGGGGUCUCCCUUUAUGUAAUCAAUUUAAUUAUAGUUUUCUUUUAUUUUCAGUAGAUAUUCCAGUUCAUGAAGUAUCAAGAGAAGAAAAGUCAAAAUUAUUUGACCUGAGGAGUGGGCAGCAUGAUUUUCGCACCAGCAAAGAAUUCGAUAACGAUUUUGACAAUUAUGAUGAAAUGGACGAUGGAUGGGACAGUUCAGACGGACACUCAGGAGGACAUUCGGGAUCACAUCCCUCUUUUCAUGAGGAUGAAGCAAUAAACCACGACAAGUCUGACAACUCACUUGCUUCUGACUUCCGAUCCGUAUUGUCGCAAAGUAUACCCAUCGGGGGGCAAGGAACGUACGACACUUCCAACAACAAUGGAUACAUGCUUUCAAAUGACGUGAUUGGCGCUGUGCAGGAUUUGAUAGAUGACCACUCAGGACUUCAAAUGACGUUUGCUUGCCAGCCGAAAAUCGGCAAAUAUCUGUGCAAAAUUCAAUGUGUGAAGCAAGACGAAGCUAUGACCGGAAGUUGCGAAACCGGAUAUUGCAGCUGCAUGCUCAAAGAAGAGCAUAAAUUGCGGAAGAAAUGAACAAACGUUUUUUGGCUGCAAUGAAAGGUUUCGACACAGAUUGCGGUGAUCGGAAGAAAGCGAAACAAUGCAAGCGGUUUUGCAAGGCUCUGACGCCCGACAAGUCCUUCACUGGCCUUUGCGCGAACAACUUCUGCAAAUGCGUCACGUAUCCAACGACCCCGGAGAAAAAGAAGACCGCCUGCGAGAAAGCCAUCAAAAACCUGAAGAAGAUCGAGGAUCAAGCCUUGCAACACUUGGGAGUCCAACCAGAACCUCUCAGCGGGGCCGCGGAGAAGAAUGCCAGCCUGGCCGCCGACGAAGCCAUUCAAAAGUUAAAGGCCAAUAACUCAAUAGACGACUGCACAGAAGAGGACAUCCAGAAUUUGAGGGGUGUCAUCGCGAGCCUUGCCCAAGGCCUCAACUUAGCCCGAUCUCAUAGUCAAACAUCAAGCUCAUCUCACGGCGAAAAAACUGAGUCUGAAUCCACGACGUACACAGCCUCUCCAUCGUCACCCAGAUCAGCAUCAAAGUAUGAGGAGAGCCAUUUUUCAAGAACCCGCCGAGGUGGACUUGAAUCUCCAAGGACUCCAUCCUCCAAAUCAGGCUCGUCCAUCCAUGAGGAGAUUCAGGUGUCCAGAACAAACCGAGAGCCGAGUGAACCUCCACGACCUUCAUCACAUGGAUCAGGCUCAUCAUUCCACGAAGAGAGUCGGGCAUCAGGAACGAGCGGAGGUGGACUAGAGAUCUUACGACUCACGUCUCCCCCGUCGCCCAAAUCAGGUUCGGGAUUCUUCGAAGAGAGUUACACAUCAAGGACAAACCGAGAUGAUAGCGAAUCUCCACGACCUCCGAAAACGCCAAAAUCAGGUUCGAAAUUGAUUGAAGAAAUCCACGUGUCAAGAAACGAACCUCCACGACCCGUAUCACCAAAAUCAGGUUCGUCAUUCUUCGAGGGGAGAACCGUAUCACGAACCAGCCAAGAAGGUAACGAAUCUCCACGACCUGCAGCCUCAAGAUCGCUCAAAUCAGGCUCGUCAUUUUACGAGGAGAGCCACGUAACGAGAACGAUCAGAAACGGAAACGAAUCUCCACGAACUCGAUCCGUGCGUAUCGUCACCACGUCACCACCCAGAUCAGAGCAGCUGACUACGUGCAGGGCACAAGGGCACAUGCGUCGCAAUGUUGGCCCUCUGACCCACAAAUUCCCGAUGCCCCCAGACGGACGGGGAACUUUGCAGCGUGACGUCAUUGAACUUCCGCCUCGGUUUCCGCCCCGGUCGGGGUUCGACCGUACGGCGGCGGCGGCGGC